CGGUGGAUCAUGUGGUUUAAUUCGAAGCAACGCGAAGAACCUUACCUGGGUUUGACAUCCCUUGACCGCCACAGAGAUGGCUUGUAUACAAGAACAGGUGUGACGAGCGCAACCCCUGUCCUUAGUUGCCAGCGGGAUGUCAAGUCUCAUGGCCUUUAUAUCCAGGCGACAUACAUGGACGGUACAAGGGAAGCGAAGGAGCGAUCUGGAGCCUCUCAAAAAGCCGUUCUCAGUUCGGAUUGGAGUGCAAUUCGACUCCAUGAAGUUGGAAUCGCUAGUAAUCGGGAUCAGCACGCCGCGGUGAAUACGUUCCCGGGCCUUGUACACACCGCCGUCACACCAUGGGAGCUGACUCAACCAGAAGACGGUGAGGCUAACCGCAAGGAGGCCGCCGUCGAAGUGGGGUUGGUGACUGGGGUGAAGUCGUACAAGGU
rnacentral:rRNA from 1 species